GACAAGUGAAGCGGACAUCUGUUUGGUUGGGUGAAAGUCUCCAUUGUUUUUUCAAACAGAUCUCCUGUAUGCGGGCCCCUCCACACAAAGUGGUGGAGGCCUGGCUGGUUGGCUGGCAGCAGGCAGGAGUACAACCUGAGUGGGCAGAGCAGAGGAAGGGGCAGAGGCCAAGGCAACACAGAGCUGAUCCGCGAACAGCAGCUGCCAAGCUUCUUCUUUAUGAAGUGUGACAGCUUCGAUCGCCUGGAGACUUUCUGUGUUCUUAGUCGAUCUGAUUGGAGACAACACAAGGUCGGAUAUCUGGUGCAAACAAGCCUCCUGAGGCAUCCGCCUACCACUAUCAUCAGCAGACAAGCUCCUUGUUAGGGCCAGCUCAGGUGGCCCAGGGAGGCUGAGAUGGAUGAGGUGUCGGCCCAGCGUCAACCCAACGGCAUCCUCAAAGAGCA